GCGCCGCCUACAAACAAACAUUUUUCGCAGCCAAUUAAAUACUACGUAUAACGAGAGUGCUGCUUCAAUGACAAUGAAGGGGCAACAUGUAUUAAAUGAAGGGCAAUUUAUAUCUAUCUCUUACUUAAAGCAUUUCCCCCAAACUAAGGUAAGCUAUUAAUUCUUACAUGGGUACAUAUGCACUUUAUAGACUUUACCAAAACAAUUGUAUUUACUAGAAAAUCCCAUUUUUAAUUUUGUUUAAAAAUGUUUUUUUGUUACAAACAAAUUUGAUUCUAAGAAAACCUCCAUGUGGCUUUUUAGUCUGUUAAUCUGCAGUAAACUGAUCAUUACCAGUUCCCAGUCGGUCCAAAGGACUCUGUCUGAGCAAGCGGGUGAUCAGAUCCUGAGCAUCGAAAGCGCUCACCACUGACAACUUGUCCAAAAAGCUCCUCGGGGGUAUCUCCAAAGAACGGAACACAGCCGACCAGGAAUUCAUACAGGAUGACUCCCAUCGCCCACCAGUCCACUGGCUUCCCAUAGCCCUGCCUGAGGAUGACCUCUGGGGCAAUGUACUCCGGUGUGCCACACACCUGCACAAGCAGACCGACACAGGUUGGUGGUCAUGUUCAUCAGGCCAAUUUUAGAGAGUCCAAAGUCCGUCAGCUUGAUGUGGCCCAUAGAAGUGAUCAACAGACUGCGAGGAGGAACAACACAAAGCAAUCCAUGAGCAUCAAGAGACGUGAUAUACUUCAG